CAGCCGUAAACUAUGCGCGUUAGGUGUAUCGGUGACCACGAGUUACCGAGGUGCCGAAGGGAAACCGUGAAACGUGCCGCCUGGGAAGUACGGUCGCAAGGCUGAAACUUAAAGGAAUUGGCGGGGGAGCACCGCAACGGGAGGAGCGUGCGGUUUAAUUGGAUUCAACACCGUAAAACUCACCAGGGAAGACUGUUACAUGAAGGCCGAGAUGAAGACUCUGCUAGAUUUUCAGAGAGGAGGUGCAUGGCGUAACGUCU
rnacentral:rRNA from 1 species